rnacentral:rRNA from 1 species
AUUGAACGCUGGCGGCAUGCCUAACACAUGCAAGUCGAACGGCAGCACAGUGCGUAGCAAUACGUAUGGGUGGCGAGUGGCGGACGGGUGAGGAAUGCAUCGGAAUCUACCCAGUAGCGGGGGAUAAUCUGGGGAAACUCAGGCUAAUACCGCAUACGACCUAUGGGUGAAAGCGGGGGACCGUAAGGCCUCGCACUAUUGGAUGAGCCGAUGCCGGAUAGCUAGUUGGUAGGGUAACGGCCUACCAAGGCGACGAUCCGUAGCUGGUCUGAGAGGACGAUCAGCCACACCGGAACUGAGACACGGUCCGGACUCCUACGGGAGGCAGCAGUGGGAAUAUUGGACAAUGGGGGAAACCCUGAUCCAGCAAUGCCGCGUGUGUGAAGAAGGCCUGCGGGUUGUAAAGCACUUUCGGAGGGGACAAAAGCGUCGGGCUAACACCCAGGCGUCUUGAUUUAACCCUUAUAAGAAGCACCGGCUAACUCUGUGCCAGCAGCCGC